rnacentral:rRNA from 1 species
GAGGAAAGCGGGGGGCGUGCUUAACACAUGCAAGUCGAACGGAAAGGCCACAUCUUGCUUUGGUACUCGAGUGGCGAACGGGUGAGUAGCACGUAGGUGGUCUUCCCUGUACGUCGGGAUAAGCGUGGGUAACUGGGUCUAAUGCCGGGUAGGAAUCACAUGUGGGGGGGGGGGUGGAGAGUUGUUGCGGUAUGGGGUGAGCGCGCGGCCUAUGAGCUUGUGGGUGGGGUAAUGGUCUACCAAGGCGUCGACGGGUAGCCGGCCUGAGAGGGGGUACGGCAAAAUUGGGCCUGAGUUAGGGCCCAGACUCCAACGGGAGGCAGCAGGGGGGAAAAUUGACAAAUGGGCGCAAGCCGGAUGCAGCGACGCCGGGUGGGGAAUGACGGCCUUCGGGUUGGAAACGCCUUUCGCAAGGGACGAACCGAAAGUGACGGUACCUGGAGAAGAAGCACCGGCUAACUACGUG